AAGUCGUAACAAGGUUUCCGUAGGUGAACCUGCGGAAGGAUCAUUAACACAUACUUUCAACUAUUAACUUUGGAGCACAGCGUAGCCUUUAUCUGAGAGUUCCGAUGCGACAAGGUUUGGUGAGCUGGAAUCGGCUCACGGUCUGUCGGAUAGUAUCCACGCUGAAAAGUGUGAGGUACCAGCUCUACGGGUUCAGGUAUUCACAGUCUCGAGCCUGGCUGGUCUUUUUUUUAACAACUUUGAUUUUUGUAUUGAAUUGAGGUGGGAUUGAGAACGGAGCUUAUUGCUUCUGACUCUCCUGUCUUUUUAGUGGAGAAAUCCAUUAAUGAACUAAAACACAACUCUUAACAGCGGAUAUCUCGGUUCUC
rnacentral:misc_RNA from 1 species